rnacentral:rRNA from 1 species
GAUGAACGCUAGCUACAGGCUUAACACAUGCAAGUCGAGGGACCGGCGCACGGGUGAGUAACACGUAUCCAACCUGCCCUUUACUCGGGGAUAGCCUUUCGAAAGAAAGAUUAAUACCCGAUAUAAAGGAUGGGAAUGCGUUCCAUUAGGUUGUUGGUGAGGUAACUGCCCACCAAGCCUUCGAUGGAUAGGGGUUCUGCGAGGAAGGUGCCCCACAGUUGAACUGAGACACGGUCCAAACUCCUACGGGAGGCAGCAGUGGGGAAGAUUGGUCAAUGGGCGUUAGCCUGAACCAGCAAAGUAGCGUGAAGGAUGAAGGGUUAUGGGUCGUAAACUUCUUUUAUAUAAAAAUAUGUAUUAUAUGAAUAAGGAUCGGCUAACUCCGUGCCAGCAGCCGCGGUAAUUC